ACAGCAGAUCAGUGAACACACCAGUAUCAGCUUGCCAAUCCAUACGUGUAACUCCAGGUUAGCCAGAGCUUGUGAGGUGUUCUUGACUGGUCAGCAGGACUAGUUUAUUUAAGCUGCAUUCAAAAAUUAAAUUUCUCUAUAUUGCAAAGUACCUUAUAUAGCAUUAAUUUAUUAUAGGUUACUGAACUCAAAAUAAGGAAUGGAAAGUCUCUAAUCAACAGGCUCUUACAGGCACAGAGAAAAGAACAUAUCCACCUGAACAAGCCCAGUCUUGCCGAACAGCCCUGCAUGUGAGUUGGAGGUGGUCCCUCGGCAGUAUGCUGGUUGGUGCUGCCAGGAGUGUGGCUGAAGGGCAGGCGGGCGUUGUGGCGUUCCUUUAGCACAUGUGGUGGUCGGUCAUCUGUGAGCCUUUACCUUGAGCAAACUUUACAGGUGGGUGCUUUCCUGUUCCAGCACUGGUGUCUUCUCGUGUGAGCUUCUCUAGCUACUUUGGUGUGCCUGACAUUUCCUAGAUGGUAUCUCAUUAACCAAACUCCAGAACGCGUGGUGGGUGGGCGCAUACCAGGCUGGGCCUUUUUUCCACCACAGACCCUUAUUAACAUUCUGGUUGCAUUUUUGCAUUCAGCUCCUCAUAUUUACAGCCCCAUCAAGGGCUCCGAAGAAGCUGAGAGACCUCUCUGUUAACCUCUGCUGGCCAAGGUGGCUUCUGUCAGGCCAAAGAAGAAAGAACAUGCAGGGACAUCUGCUUUGCCACUCUGGGAAUUGCUUUGGGCUUUGUUAUCAAAGGAUUUUGUUAUGAAAAAGGUGACUGACUGCCUUGAGCAACAGCAGUUGCUCUAUGGGAUUUCUCUGUAUCUCCCUCUAAAUCCUUCACUUUGAACCUUUGAUUUUCCUCCUGUUUGUGUUUUGUAGUUACCUGUAUCCUAAAUUCAGCUGGACCUUGGUUUGGCUACCUGCUUCCUGAGAAGGGAAGUGAGUUCUACCUUUGAUAAAGCCAUUAAAAAAAUAGCAUUUUUACAGACUUUAAAAGCGUAUUCCCCUCUGUGAGCCUAGCUGCCUCACAACAGCAAGGUCCUGGGCAAAUCCAAAAGCUUGCAGGUGAGGAAACCACUUGCCUUUUGAUUGGUGAAGGCAUUUCCAGGUGAACUGAUCAAAUAUUCAGAACUAUCACAUGCUGUGCAUAUCCUGUAGAAUACGUUUUCUUUGAUAGGAUGUGAUGGAUCUUUAGAAUUAACCUGUUCUUUUAAAAAGGGUCACACAGGAUUUUAGCUCUCUCCAGCUUAUGAAAAUCUACAAGUCUCAUAUGUUUGUGUGAAUUUAACUAAAUUAUUCCAAAAUCAGCGCUACAGUAAGGAUUUUAACCUGUUUUUCUGCAGGCUUUUAAAAUACACACUUUGAUCCUUAUACCUGCAGGUGAUUCAAAGUAAGAAAGCCCAGUCUCUCAUUUUCACAUAUUUGGGAAUAAUGCAGGAUUUGGGUUCUCAAAAUUCUGAAUUACAUUUUGUGAAUAUGGAUCUGGAAGUUACUAGGGGAAAGGAAGCGGGGGGUAGGGGGUGAAAGAGAAAGGUGUGGGACUGACUGGGGCAGGGCCUAGGCAAUCCACAUGCCAGUGGCACUUCGUAGAAAAGCUGUCUGGGAUGGGGCCUCUUACCUGUUGGCUGGAGUCAAGUCCUGUUAACCAGGUUAAUUUAGAACUGCCCAGGGUGAAGGAAGAGUGAGUAUUUAGACUCGUCCUUAUUAUUAAGGAGCUUCUCCAUAUUUAUUUGUGGCAGCUGCUGUACAGGUAACUCUCUUAAUGCUACUAAAAUUUUAUAUAAAAGGAGAUAAAGCAGUGCAAAUACAGAGAAGAAUGUAGUAAAUUAUGGGUGUUAUAGUAUCAAUACUGGCAUUUGCUGUUUUAGGUACCUGAUUUAUAUUAUAAAAACUAUGUGUGUAUAGGGAUUAAAGGGAAAAAAAACCACCAAAGCAAAACUACAUUGGUAACAAAAUUUGUUUGCUUAACUCUGAAAUCACGGCUCCCCUUACGCAUCUGGAGGAUAAGCAACCAGCACCAAUACAAUUUCUUUCGUUCCACUUUUCUCAAUUUCAUCUUCAAUACAGUAAUAUUUAUCUACAAUGGGUGGUAGCUGGCUUGACAGGAACUGUGAGUCAAUAUGAUUUCCCAGGCAGACGGUCUUUCAGGUUUUUGCCAAUUCCUUACUGUCUGUGCUGGCUUUCUCAUCUUUACCAAGAACAGCAACAAAAGGCUAUGAUUCAAAUAUCUGAAACAGUAGCUAUUGUACUGCUCCUAAAAUCUCCUUAGACUACAUGGUUUGAAUAGGAAUUGUUGACAUUCACCAACAAAAAAAUGCAUUUAAAAAGCCAAAGCCUGCUGUGAUGCUGCUUAACUAUUACAAGGGAAAGUUAGUUCUUUGUGAGCAAAGCUAGCCCUGCCCAGUAACAGUUGCUACGCAGGGUGCUGUAUUAAGGCAGGAAGGGGUCACUUCAUACAGCCCUCCCUCACCAUCUGCGUACAGCAUGUUACUGAGUUGUCAGCAUGUGUGAAUCCUAAUCUGAAGGCAAAUGUUUCAGCUAACUUGGUAAAAAGUAAUGGUCGAUGAUUUUUCUCUCUUCACCGGCUUGCAUGUUUUCUGUAGCAACAAUAAGCAUUUUGCCUGCAAGCGAGAGAUCUAUCAGGAAUAGAGUUCUGACAUUUUAGUAACUGCAUUACAGAAAAAUACUAGAAUACCACAAUGAUUAGAAGUCCUGAUCUGGACUCCUUUGUUUGUUGUGCUGUGUGUUCAAAAAUAAUACCACCACCACCUUCCAAUGCUACUUGUGAUCGGAUUCGGGAGUAUAAGCCUUUCAGAACACGGUAUUACACUCAUCGUGAUAUACUGGAGAUUGGAGCAGACAUUCAACAAGAACAACAUGAAAAGAAGGAGGCAGAGAUACAAGAGCGCAUUGAAAAAAUGAAAGCUGAACUUUGGGCUCAGGCUGAAAUGCACAAGGAAGAUGCAGUGGAUAAAGCUCUCAAAGAGGCAGCCGCUAACCACAGUGCGUUUGUACAAGACCUUAAACAAAAACUUGGAAAGGAAUUAAGGGAAGAGGUGAGGAAGGCGAAGGCAGAGAUGCAGCAGUACAUGGAGGAUGAGCGGAAGAGAGAGGCUGAAGCUGCAGAGCAGCGCAUGGCUCACAGAAUUCAGUGCACCCUCAUGGAGUGUGCCCGGGAGAAGAUGCAGGCGGUGGCCGAAGCCAGGAAACAGGAGAGGGAGGCGGCCCUGAAGGAAGCAGCCAGGCAGCACAGAAAGCACUUAGAGCAACUCAAAGAAGAAAGUAUGUUAGCUGAGGAACUAUACCGUAAGAGUAUAGAGCAAUUAAACACAGAAAAAUGUCAUGAGUUUAAUAUUGCCCUGAGUGUCGCACAAAAAGAGAAUCAGAUUGAGACUGAAAAACAGCUCAAAGAAGCAGAGACCGUCCAUCUUGAUGAGCUGGAAAAAGUGAUGGCUACACUGAAAGCAGCAGAAGAACAGGAGUAAAGUACUGGAACUCAAGUACUAGCAGCUGCAUCAUGAAAUACAUAAAGCUGAUGAAUGAUCUCUGUUGGGUUAGCUGAUUAAAGGCUCACCUCAGCACACACCAUGGAGCCCAGAGGCACAGCGGCAGCUGGGGGGAACCCCAACAACCCAGUCAGAGGAACAAGCCUCCAGUCCAGCCGCAUGGACUGGGAGUGAGACCCACCACCAUGAGUCAACAGGAGAGGCUUUCUAGAGCACCUUGCAGACUGAGGGUGGAUACAGCCUGGAGGGCUUUCUCUGCGUGCAUAUAUAUGCGUGGAGGUCUACCUGCCAGCAGCUGGAGUUGGACCACAGAUGACAGGGGCUUUGGGCUCAGGGUGCCAGCAAUUGGAGAGACUGGAGUGCAUCUUAUGUGGGCUUAGCCCACAUUUUAUCUGGGAUACAGUGGCUGGUGCAGAUCGUGGCUGUCUACAGGGGUAAGUGUUCUCUGUGAUGGACCUUAGUCAUGGGUACCUCAGUCAUCCAGACAAGACCACGGGCCCCUGUGAGUGCACAUCCCAGGCCCCUCCUGACCUACAGCCUUGGGGGCAUGUUUGGAGACAAGCAGCAGGGGCUCGAGAUCUGGUCAGCUGUGUCUAUACAUCUAUAUACUGCAGGCACGUUCUGGGGUGGACUUACUCACCAGUGUAUGCACAGCAUAUACAGCAUGUAACAGUCUGUCAGACACUGGCAUUGCUUCUCAUUGCUUUUUGGAAAAGGAAAAACACUGGUUUACUGCUUUCAAAUGUCAAGGUGAAGUUGUGUUGGCUCUGCUUAGAAACAGCAUGUCCUCUUAAGUCUGUGUGCUUGGUUGUGUAGAGAUAAAAGGAGCCACAGCUUGGCCUAAGUGAUUAGCUCUGCAGUAUAAAUGGAUAGACAAGAUAGCAAGCAGUAGAAUCACUAUGGGAUCUGGAGAGCAAUUGCCCAUGGACACUGGUAUUUCAAUGAAGUAUUUUAGAAAGUAUUGUAUCUAAUUAAGCCUGAUUUAAGAGAUUUUUUUCUUGUUCUUCUAGUUGUACUCACUGCACAAUAUUAAUUAUGGUUGACUGGCAAGGUGAAAAAAAGGCCGUUUUUCAUAUUCUAUAAGUUUCUGCAUGUCAGAUACUUAACUAAUGAAAUCUGUGAGUACACGAGCUAUUGGUAGCUAAUAAAAAUCAGGAGUUCAGACAUACAAGCAAGCCUUUCAUUGCAUGAAGCAGAGACAGCAUAUGUUUGUUGGCUUGAUUUUGUUCCUGUUUGAGAAGGAUUGCAGCAUGAAAAGUAACACUACCCACUUUACUUGCACUCUGAAUCAGAGAGAGUGUGAAUACAUGCUUUUUGACUGUCUGAAUGAUGCAAAUAAAGAAGCUUUCAGAUAACAUCUGGACGUUAGGGUGCUGGUGAUGGCACAUACUGAUGGCGGAGUGCAUGAGACAAAGCCUAGAAUGGGGAGCUAUAAUGCUGCAAUGAAUAAUACAGAAAGCAGGAUUUCCUUAUUAGUCAUUCAGGAGAUGUCUAAAAUUGCCAGAAAGUACCAUAGUCUCAGGAACAGUGAAACUUUCUGUCUAAGGCAAUGCUAUAAAAGACUGAAAAGUGGGUUGUCUAAUUACUGUAGCCCAGCAGCUGAACUAGUAGGGAACUGUGGAGUACAGCUGAUAAGCGGCUAAUUAAUAAACUAGAGACAUCUUGCUCGUUAGUCCCUCAAAGCUCUGCCGAAGAGAUCUGUGAUGUCUUAAAAGGAGGAUAUGCAGAUUGUGAAAUCUCUGAAUGCCUGGCAUGGAGAAAUGAAGUGUGAAAGGAACUAAUGAUGCUGGUAACAUUUGGAGUGUGAGCGCACGCUGUCUGUGUGUGUGAGGCAAUUAAGGAACCGCAGCGCCUCAUGGACAACUGACCGCAGAACGAAUACACUCUGUCUAUGCAUGGAUGUAGUGUACCCACACAGAUAUAAACCCAGUAAUUGUGAUUUAAGUUACUGAUGUGAUUUCCUUUGCUGGACUUAAUUAACAACAGCUCAGUGUUACGUUUGCUGCUAGUUAAAAUACAGAUUGAGUAAAGGAAUAUGAGUGACUAAUCACAAAAUGUAUCAAGUGACUGGUGGGAUAUGCAGAUGCUCGAGAAACUGGCAUUGAUAUUGGCUAUUAAUACAGUACAUGGGUGUUUUGGGGAUAUCUAGGCAGGGUUCUGCCUGGGGACAUGGUGGCAGUGACCAGAGGGAAAGACAAAUCCUAGAAGGAAGACUGGGCCAACAACAAUGAUAGGAACAUCCUAGGGAGUGAGGAAACCUGUGCAUCCUCCAUUGAAGUUUACUGAGACCAGCAGUUAACACAUCACCUUAGCUUGCUUUGGGCCAGUGAGCAAACCAAGAGUUAGGUAAACAGCUUGAAUAACAACAGCUAGUAAACUAACUCCAAGUAGAAGAAUAAAUAAAAUUGCUGUACCCUAACUGUAACAUGGCCUGCCCAAGUCUUCGCACUUCUAGCUGAUCAUCAACAGUUUGUCUUGUUGUUAUUAAAACAGUCUCUAGCACUUUGUUUUGGCUUCUUCUAAGAGUACAGCUGUCUUGUUCUUAUUACUGGAUCUUGCCUCUCUUUUGUGUACUUGGACUUUUCCAACAUACAGCUGCAGUCCUCUUUUAUGCUUGCCCUAAAACUUGAGUGACUAGAAAAAAAUCCUACCCAUCAAGGUGUCUGAGCACCAUAUUUUUCCAUUAUUUUUCUCAUAAGAUUACAUUCUUCCUUGCUCUAGUAAACUUUCCAAAAGGCACAGGCACUUUCAGUUUGUUUAUUUGAAAACUUAAGCCACACUAUGAAUGGAAUAUUGCUGGCCAAAGUUGAGCUCCACUUCAUUCUGUCUUCUCUCACAGCUUCUCAGGAACUUAUACUGCUGAUGCCAGAUUAGUUGCAGGGCUCUGGGUAUUACUGUUGCUAGCCACAAAACCUGUAGUCCCUUCCCUGUGCUGCCUAUGGCAUCCCACAAUGAUUCCUGAUUGUUGCGGUUUGGGGUUUUUUUCCUCACGUGCCAAGUACUGCAAGUAUUAGGUUCUGGAAAAGAGUAGUUUAACUCUGAGGCUAGCAUCUGAGCUACUUUGACUCUAUACUUAAGGUGUUAACCAUCUUUGAUAUCUUUCUGAUAGUCCCUCUUUAGUAUGAGGUUUAUAAUCCUGAUUUAUACCCAGUUCUGAUUUUCAAUAUGGAUUUAAAAGUUAGUGACCUGGAC